UUAAGCGACUAAGCGUACACGGUGGAUGCCCUGGCAGUCAGAGGCGAUGAAGGACGUGCUAAUCUGCGAUAAGCGUCGGUAAGGUGAUAUGAACCGUUAUAACCGGCGAUUUCCGAAUGGGGAAACCCAGUGUGAUUCGUCACACUAUCAUUAACUGAAUCCAUAGGUUAAUGAGGCGAACCGGGGGAACUGAAACAUCUAAGUACCCCGAGGAAAAGAAAUCAACCGAGAUUCCCCCAGUAGCGGCGAGCGAACGGGGAGCAGCCCAGAGCCUGAAUCAGUGUGUGUGUUAGUGGAAGCGUCUGGAAAGGCGCGCGAUACAGGGUGACAGCCCCGUACACAAAAUGCACAUACUGUGAGCUCGAUGAGUAGGGCGGGACACGUGGUAUCCUGUCUGAAUAUGGGGGGACCAUCCUCCAAGGCUAAAUACUCCUGACUGACCGAUAGUGAACCAGUACCGUGAGGGAAAGGCGAAAAGAACCCCGGCGAGGGGAGUGAAAAAGAACCUGAAACCGUGUACGUACAAGCAGUGGGAGCCUCUUUUAUGGGGUGACUGCGUACCUUUUGUAUAAUGGGGUCAGCGACUUAUAUUCUGUAGCAAGGUUAACCGAAUAGGGGAGCCGAAGGGAAACCGAGUCUUAACCGGGCGUUAAGUUGCAGGGUAUAGACCCGAAACCCGGUGAUCUAGCCAUGGGCAGGUUGAAGGUUGGGUAACACUAACUGGAGGACCGAACCGACUAAUGUUGAAAAUUAGCGGAUGACUUGUGGCUGGGGGUGAAAGGCCAAUCAAACCGGGAGAUAGCUGGUUCUCCCCGAAAGCUAUUUAGGUAGCGCCUCGUGAAUUCGUCUCCGGGGGUAGAGCACUGUUUCGGCAAGGGGGUCAUCCCGACUUACCAACCCGAUGCAAACUGCGAAUACCGGAGAAUGUUAUCACGGGAGACACACGGCGGGUGCUAACGUCCGUCGUGAAGAGGGAAACAACCCAGACCGCCAGCUAAGGUCCCAAAGUCAUGGUUAAGUGGGAAACGAUGUGGGAAGGCCCAGACAGCCAGGAUGUUGGCUUAGAAGCAGCCAUCAUUUAAAGAAAGCGUAAUAGCUCACUGGUCGAGUCGGCCUGCGCGGAAGAUGUAACGGGGCUAAACCAUGCACCGAAGCUGCGGCAGCGACACUGUGUGUUGUUGGGUAGGGGAGCGUUCUGUAAGCCUGUGAAGGUGUACUGUGAGGUAUGCUGGAGGUAUCAGAAGUGCGAAUGCUGACAUAAGUAACGAUAAAGCGGGUGAAAAGCCCGCUCGCCGGAAGACCAAGGGUUCCUGUCCAACGUUAAUCGGGGCAGGGUGAGUCGACCCCUAAGGCGAGGCCGAAAGGCGUAGUCGAUGGGAAACAGGUUAAUAUUCCUGUACUUGGUGUUACUGCGAAGGGGGGACGGAGAAGGCUAUGUUGGCCGGGCGACGGUUGUCCCGGUUUAAGCGUGUAGGCUGGUUUUCCAGGCAAAUCCGGAAAAUCAAGGCUGAGGCGUGAUGACGAGGCACUACGGUGCUGAAGCAACAAAUGCCCUGCUUCCAGGAAAAGCCUCUAAGCAUCAGGUAACAUCAAAUCGUACCCCAAACCGACACAGGUGGUCAGGUAGAGAAUACCAAGGCGCUUGAGAGAACUCGGGUGAAGGAACUAGGCAAAAUGGUGCCGUAACUUCGGGAGAAGGCACGCUGAUAUGUAGGUGAAGUCCCUCGCGGAUGGAGCUGAAAUCAGUCGAAGAUACCAGCUGGCUGCAACUGUUUAUUAAAAACACAGCACUGUGCAAACACGAAAGUGGACGUAUACGGUGUGACGCCUGCCCGGUGCCGGAAGGUUAAUUGAUGGGGUCAGCGCAAGCGAAGCUCUUGAUCGAAGCCCCGGUAAACGGCGGCCGUAACUAUAACGGUCCUAAGGUAGCGAAAUUCCUUGUCGGGUAAGUUCCGACCUGCACGAAUGGCGUAAUGAUGGCCAGGCUGUCUCCACCCGAGACUCAGUGAAAUUGAACUCGCUGUGAAGAUGCAGUGUACCCGCGGCAAGACGGAAAGACCCCGUGAACCUUUACUAUAGCUUGACACUGAACAUUGAGCCUUGAUGUGUAGGAUAGGUGGGAGGCUUUGAAGUGUGGACGCCAGUCUGCAUGGAGCCGACCUUGAAAUACCACCCUUUAAUGUUUGAUGUUCUAACGUGGACCCGUGAUCCGGGUUGCGGACAGUGUCUGGUGGGUAGUUUGACUGGGGCGGUCUCCUCCUAAAGAGUAACGGAGGAGCACGAAGGUUGGCUAAUCCUGGUCGGACAUCAGGAGGUUAGUGCAAUGGCAUAAGCCAGCUUGACUGCGAGCGUGACGGCGCGAGCAGGUGCGAAAGCAGGUCAUAGUGAUCCGGUGGUUCUGAAUGGAAGGGCCAUCGCUCAACGGAUAAAAGGUACUCCGGGGAUAACAGGCUGAUACCGCCCAAGAGUUCAUAUCGACGGCGGUGUUUGGCACCUCGAUGUCGGCUCAUCACAUCCUGGGGCUGAAGUAGGUCCCAAGGGUAUGGCUGUUCGCCAUUUAAAGUGGUACGCGAGCUGGGUUUAGAACGUCGUGAGACAGUUCGGUCCCUAUCUGCCGUGGGCGCUGGAGAACUGAGGGGGGCUGCUCCUAGUACGAGAGGACCGGAGUGGACGCAUCACUGGUGUUCGGGUUGUCAUGCCAAUGGCACUGCCCGGUAGCUAAAUGCGGAAGAGAUAAGUGCUGAAAGCAUCUAAGCACGAAACUUGCCCCGAGAUGAGUUCUCCCUGACCCUUUAAGGGUCCUGAAGGAACGUUGAAGACGACGACGUUGAUAGGCCGGGUGUGUAAGCGCAGCGAUGCGUUGAGCUAACCGGUACUAAUGAACCGUGAGGCUUAACCUU
rnacentral:rRNA from 1 species